GUUUUUUUUUCAGCUAAUAAUUAAGGCUGGGACAUAAAUCUAUAAUCGAAAUGUAAGUUUUUUUGUAUGAAUGUGCUGUCACUUAUGUGCUGUCCCAUCCCAUAUAUGUACAUUUAUUUUUGGUAGGAGGAUUCCAACCCAGAAGCAGAGAGAACAGUAUGCCAUUGGAAUUGUGACUUUGUUUCCAUCAUUGAAAGACCCAUUUUCCAAGAAGGGAUAUGAGCACUUUUAUGAUGCAGCAAGUGGAUAUCUUGCUUGGCUUUUAAAAACCGUUCAAAGAAACAACUCUCGUCACACUGAAAGAAAGAAUAAGACUAGCUCUGAACAAGGAGGUCCAAACAUCAUGAGAUACAUUAGCUUACAACAUCAGCUUGAGGGAGAUGCUCUUGUUGAGGCCAUUUCACUUCUUGCUCAAACAAGAGUUGAAGAAACCAUUUUUGAAAAGAUGAGACAGACAUUUCGCUAUCGCCAGGAACUUGUUCACAAUGCAGAUACAGCAACAAUUGGAUUGCCAUGGGGAGGAGUCGAGAUGUGAUUGACAGCUACUACAUUUCUCUUUAUAACAAGCUUAUCCCUUGUCAGACGGCUGGUUCUCUGGGUGCUUUGGAUGAGCUCUUCAAAGUACACUACAUUUUUAAUAUAUCCUACGACAAUGCUCUCAUCAACUUCUACACUUUCCUGCAGACCACGGUUUAUAACAUAGAUGUUGGAAAAACAAAAGAGUCAC